AAUGGGAAACCCUAUAGUACUCAUCAACACCUAAAGCGGCAAUGAGCAUAUUUCUAGCUUUCCAUUCGUAGCUAUACUUUUUCUCAUCUUCUUCAUUCCAUUGUGCUUCAGAUUUAGGUACAACAAAGUCAUCUGCAUUGGUCAUGGUUAUUUCCAUAGGACCAUCUUAGAUGACUUUCCAUACUUUCCUAUCAAUAGAGUUGAUAUGGAUACGCAUACAAUCUUUCCAAUAAAUAUAGUUU
rnacentral:lncRNA from 1 species